rnacentral:rRNA from 1 species
AGCGUAAACGGCACAGCAAGUCUGAAGUGAAAUCCCCGGGCUCAACCCGGGAACUGCUUUGGAAACUGUUGGGCUGGAGUGCUGGAGAGGCAAGCGGAAUUCCUAGUGUAGCGGUGAAAUGCGUAGAUAUUAGGAGGAACACCAGUGGCGAAGGCGGCUUGCUGGACAGUAACUGACGUUGAGGCUCGAAAGCGUGGGGAGCAAACA